GCUUACGGCCAUACCACUCUGGCAAUGCCUGAUCUCAUCUGAACUCGGAAGUAAAGCAGGGUUCGGCCUGGUUAGUACUUGGCGAUUCUCUCAGACCGGGGGUUUGAUAGUU
rnacentral:rRNA from 1 species